UACGAGGGGGGCGAGCGUUGUUCGGAAUUAUUGGGCGUAAAGGGUGCGUAGGCGGUUUGGUAAGUCUUGUGUGAAAUCUACAGGCUUAACUGGGAGGGUGCGCCGGAAACUGGAGUGCUCGAACGUGGGAGAGGUGAGUGGAAUUCCUGGUGUAGCGGUGAAAUGCGUAGAUAUCAGGAGGAACACCUGUGGCGAAAGCGGCUCACUGGACCAUAACUGACGCUGAUGCACGAAAGCUAGGGGAGCAAACAGG
rnacentral:rRNA from 1 species